GUGCAUAGAUGCCUUCGCAGCAGGUGAAGCUCUCUGUCUGGCAGCACUCUGCAAGAGACAUGCAGAGCUUCAGUGUGUCCAGGUACUUGAUCUCUUUCUGCACUCUGGAUAUAGCAGCAUUAGUUUUCAAGGUGCCAGAAGCAUCUACACAGAUACUGCUCUGAUUUUGCAGUAAGCUGCUGCUGAGCUCUGGACUGUUGCUAUUACAGGCUGGUAAUUUAAAGCUACCUCAGGUGAAAGCUACUGGGACUUUGAGUACAUGAAUGCCAUCCCCCUCUGUUGGGACAACACAGCUGACAUACUGCAGUGGCACUGCAUCUCACAGAGCUCCUCAGAGUAAAAUCCUCCACUUGCUCCACUAACUUCCCUGUGGGAGGGAAGCAGUGCCCUGGCUGCAGCAGUAUAGGCAGCAUAUCACAUCCCAGUCAUAUAAAUCCAUUGGGUAAAUGUUGUUACCUUGAAGACAUUGUGUCAGAAGAUGAAUAUGUGAAAGAUGAAAAACAGCAUCAAGAUGCAAAAGGUGAAAAUGAACUUUUGGAUAUUACAGAAAUUAGGAAGAAAGAAUAAGAAUCUCACUUGCUGAGAAGCCUGGAUGAGAAUCUAUCAGGCAGCUGCAUUAUCAAUCUUAUUAUAUUAAGCAUAAGUGUAAACACUGAAAAAUUCAUGAAGCAGAAUGAAACAGUAAAGCCUAGUUAAAACCCAGAGCUCCAGUUUGAUAUAUGUGGUGCUGACAGGAUAAAGUGAAAGGAAAGAAGGAGAAAGAGCAAGGGCAGUUUUACAUGCUCUUUCCUUCACGGAUUUAGGAUGAUUUGCAUUCAUGGAGUUCAAGUGCUGUAAAGUCAAUCUGUGCAUACUGCAUAGGGCACAUCUCACCGAUUCACCCUGGAAGUUCCUCUCCCUCCCCUGUUGGCCCCAGGGAGCAUUUGCUUUGGUCAGACUGUUCAAAAGUACAGCCCUGAUCAGUAUAGAAGAGGGCUAGAUUUACCAAAAGCGAAGAGUAUGAGGAGAGAAUUUAGACAUUGGAUGAGGGAGUCAAACUUGGCUGGGAACUCUCGGGAAUGGGGCCAUGAAAGUGCUGGUGUGGCCACUGCUAGGAAUUGAACUCCUCUGUUGCAAUGGGCUCUACUGGACAUGUGAAGGCAUUUCAGACUCAGUUUAGCCCUGUAUCUGCAGAAAUUCCAUGCUUUGUAUCUUAGUGAAUAUAUUGUAGCUACCUGUGAUGAGCAUCAUAUGGAUAUUGCACCUUGAGGGGUAUUCCAGGCGACAGGAUCUCGGAUGUACUCCCCAUGGGCUGUGGAGAAUGACACCUCUGUGGGUCUAGGGCUCUGUGUGUGUGUGGGCACAUCUGUGUGCAAGAAGAUUCAUCUCCGUCUUCACUCAGAGCAAUUGCUACUGGAAUUCAAUAACAAAGGCUGAUGAAAACUUCCCCCUCUCUGUGGCUGUGCAGAAAAUACCAAUAAUGAGGAGAGGGAUCUGAGCUUUGACUCCAUAUGCACAAAGAAAGCAUAGAGCCUUUUCAUACUGAGGCUUUAAAGAAAGACCCUGCAUACAAAAAGGAGGGGAAAGUAAAAAGAGAGAACCGGCAAAAGAGAUUGUGUGGAAUAAGGCAACACACUGACAAAAAUUUAUGGAAAACCCAGUGAAUAAGCCAGUUGGAUAUUAUAUAUGCAGGGAAAGAGGACAAAUGAAAGUUAUAUUAGAAGUUAUUGGUGCCAAAGAAGAUCUGAGUGUUUUGCUUAUGGAGACACAAAAGGAAUAACUACUUGUAGUACAGGGGCAAUUUCCUUGAGUUUGGGAUGUUCAAAAAAACAGAUAUUUUCUUUUUUGUGUCUUAUUUUCCUUCAUGUAAUUUGGGCUGUUCUUUGCUAUUGCCCUUGAGGCCCCAAUGGACACAGCACAGCAAUCAGUUCCCUUUACUCUAGGUGGAGAGAAGGAAACCCCUGGAAGACUUUUCCCUGCCCUCUACUCCUAACCCAUCAGACAGGGAUCAACCUAGGCUGCAUGAAUAUGGGCAAAGAGAUGUCCUCAUGCCAGGGCUUUCUUUAGGCCCCUAAAAGUUGGAAUGAAGAGAUUUGGGGAAAUGUAGUCCUCAGGAAUCUGCUGAGGCAUUGCACUCUCAUUGUCCAAAUCCUCCAAAAGUACAUAAUACUGGGAGCAAUCUUCCUCCUGAAGCACUGAGAUGUUUGCUUCCUUCAUUCCCCACAAGGCACUGAGAUCCCAACUCUUCUAGCCAAAAUGAACCUUCUGUACUCAAAUCAAUAUCCCCUCUUUCUCCUUAACUGCAGAACUAGGAGAUGAGGUACAGAACAUAGCCCUGCAUGCAGGGAAACAUAACAAGAUUUUUUGCCUGGAGACAAAGAAUAUUCUUUUCUUUCUUCCCAGUAAAGAUGCAGUGCAAGGGUUUGGAGUCUGUAUUUAUGUUAUUUAGUGGUGUGGGUGUUGACAUGGGAUUUGUGGCAUUUGGUUUCUAAUUGCUGGGUCAGAAGGUCUGUGUGAGACACUGAGGCCUGAAAAAUCAUCUUUCUCAUCUAGCCUAAACCAAAAAUUUUGGAUUGCAAAGUGGAGGACAGUCAGGCAGUGAGUCAAUCAAUCAAUCAAUCAAUUAAUCUCAAAGCUCCUGUUGGGUAAGGAUGUUUCUUUUGAUAUACACAGAGCUAAAACAAACCCACAGGCAACCACAUACCAAGGCUCAAAAACAAAGUGAAAGCCCAGCAAAAGUUCUAAAAACUAAGCAAAGAACCAAACCAGUAGCUACCUUCUGAUGACAGCAAUGUCAUUUUAAUGGGUAGGUACAUGCAGUAAACAUAGACAUUCAUGGACACAGACACACAGCCAAACACAAUUUGUUUGAAUAAACUGAUUUAUUCCCCUUAACCGCUUGUCUCGAAGACAAUGUUAACAGCUAGCAAAAGCUGACUAAGUCCC